GUACAAUCGACUACACUAAAUGUGAUCUCUAGGUAGGGAGCCAGGAAGAAGAGAAUCCAGGACAAAACUUCUUGGGGUGCCAUGCAUACGGAAGAUGCUUAGUGAGUUCUGGAAGAUCACCCCAGGUAGCAGUCUCACAACAUCAAUCUAUUGAUUCUCACUGCACGAGGUGAAGAAGAAACCACCAGUUCAGCCCGAUCAGUAGAA
rnacentral:lncRNA from 1 species